rnacentral:rRNA from 1 species
GACGGGUGAGUAAUGCCUAGGAAUCUGCCUAUGGUGGGGGAUAAACGUUCGGAAACGGACGCUAAUACCGCAUACGUCCUACGGGAGAAANCGGGGGAUCUUCGGACCUCGCGCCAUUAGAUGAGCCUAGGUCGGAUUAGCUAGUUGGUGAGGUAAUGGCUCACCAAGGCGACGAUCCGUAACUGGUCUGAGAGGAUGAUCAGUCACACUGGAACUGAGACACGGUCCAGACUCCUACGGGAGGCAGCAGUGGGGAAUAUUGGACAAUGGGCGAAAGCCUGAUCCAGCCAUGCCGCGUGUGUGAAGAAGGUCUUCGGAUUGUAAAGCACUUUAAGUUGGGAGGAAGGGUAGUAACCUAAUACGUUGCUACUUUGACGUUACCGACAGAAUAAGCACCGGCUAACUUCGUG